AACGCGAAGAACCUUACCUGGGCUCGAAAUGUACAGGACAGCGGUAGAAAUAUCGUCUCCCAGCAAUGGGUCUGUAUAUAGGUGCUGCAUGGCUGUCGUCAGCUCGUGUCGUGAGAUGUUGGGUUAAGUCCCGCAACGAGCGCAACCCUUAUUACCAGUUGCCAUCAUUAAGUUGGGCACUCAGGUGAGACCGCCUCGGAUAACGGGGAGGAAGGCGGGGAUGACGUCAAGUCCUCAUGGCCUUUAUGUCCAGGGCUACACACGUGCUACAAUGGCCGGUACAAACCGUCGCAAACCCGUGAGGGGGAGCUAAUCGGAAAAAGCCGGCCUCAGUUCGGAUUGGAGUCUGCAACUCGACUCCAUGAAGCUGGAAUCGCUAGUAAUCGCGGAUCAGAACGCCGCGGUGAAUACGUUCCCGGGCCUUGUACACACCGCGCAUA
rnacentral:rRNA from 1 species